GUACGGGGGGGGCAAGCGUUGUUCGGAAUUACUGGGCGUAAAGGGCUCGUAGGCGGCCAACUAAGUCAGACGUGAAAUCCCCAGGCUCAACCUGGGAACUGCGUCUGAUACUGGAUGGCUUGAAUCCGGGAGAGGGAUGCAGAAUUCCAGGUGUAGCGGUGAAAUGCGUAGAUAUCUGGAGGAAUACCGGUGGCGAAGGCGGCAUCCUGGACCGGCAUUGACGCUGAGGAGCGAAAGCCAGGGGAGCAAACAGG
rnacentral:rRNA from 1 species